GUCUUGGCCAGCCCUGGAGCAGAGGGGUGUCUCCCCAGAUGGAGGACACUCAGAUGCCCUAGUCCCCAUCUGCAGGAGGUACAGGAGCAACUUGGGAACCUUCCUGGAAGAGCCCCAGCCCAACCUAACCCACCCUCCCAUCCCAAGCUGGAAACCUGCACCACCCCUCAGAAGGCAGCAGGAGCUCCACGCAGAUUCUCCCUAAAAACAUAAGGCUGGUUUCCAUGGGUGUCAUUCUGUACCUGUGGAGGCAGGGCGGGCUUUCCUGGAACAAGGUGAAGGUGGCACUGUGUAUCGUGAUGCAAUCCUACCUGGCACCUGCGGGGAACAAGAGGCCGGGGCAGAAGCUACAGCAGGAACUCUCUCCCACUGAACAAACCGUCCUGCUACUCGCUGGCUUGUGUGUGACCCUGCAGGGGUCUUGUUCUUUCCAAGUCCCAUGGCUAAUAACCCAGGGGAAGGCAAACCAUGGCCCAGAGGCCAAAUCCUGCCUACUGCCUACUUUUAUCAAUAAAGUUUUGUUGGAACACA